rnacentral:tRNA from 2 species
GCGGGGAUAGCUCAGUUGGGAGAGCGUCAGACUGAAGUUAGGACUUCAGUUCCAUUCGAGAUCAUCUGAAGGUCGUGCGUUCGAUCCGCACUCACCGCA